GUGGAUUAGUUACCCGGGUAGUCCACGCAGUAAACGAUGAAUACUAACUGUUUGCGAUAUACAGUAAGCGGUACAGCGAAAGCGUUAAGUAUUCCACCUGGGGAGUACGUUCGCAAGAAUGAAACUCAAAGGAAUUGACGGGGGCCCGCACAAGCGGAGGAACAUGUGGUUUAAUUCGAUGAUACGCGAGGAACCUUACCCGGGCUUGAAAUGCAUCUGACGUACCUGGAAACAGGUAUUCUAGCAAUAGCAGAUGUGUAGGUGCUGCACGGCCGUCGUCAGCU
rnacentral:rRNA from 1 species